UACGUAGGGGGCAAGCGUUGUCCGGAUUUAUUGGGCGUAAAGAGCGUGUAGGCGGCCAGACAGGUCCGUUGUGAAAACUCGAGGCUCAACCUCGAGACGCCGAUGGAAACCGUCUGGCUAGAGUCCGGAAGAGGAGAGUGGAAUUCCUGGUGUAGCGGUGAAAUGCGCAUAUAUCAGGAAGAACACCCGUGGCUAAGGCGGCUCUCUAGUACGGUACUGACGCUGAGACGCGAAAGCGUGGGGAGCGAACAGG
rnacentral:rRNA from 1 species